rnacentral:rRNA from 1 species
GGCUUAAGAGUUCGUAGGUGGUUAAAAAGUUGGUGGUGAAAUCCCAGAGCUUAACUCUGGAACUGCCAUCAAAACUUUUUAGCUAGAGUUUGAUAGAGGAAAGCAGAAUUUCUAGUGUAGAGGUGAAAUUCGUAGAUAUUAGAAAGAAUACCAAUUGCGAAGGCAGCUUUCUGGAUCAUUACUGACACUGAGGAACGAAAGCAUGGGUAGCGAAGAGGAUUAGAUACCCUCGUAGUCCAUGCCGUAAACGAUGUGUGUUAGACGUUGGAAAUUUAUUUUCAGUGUCGCAGCGAAAGCGAUAAACACACCGCCUGGGGAGUACGACCGCAAGGUUAAAACUCAAAUGAAUUGACGGGGACCCGCACAAGUAGUGGAGCAUGUGGUUUAAUUCGAAGAUACGCGCAGAACCUUACCAACACUUGACAUGUUCGUCGCGACCUUAAGAGAUUAAGGUUUUCGGUUCGGCCGGACGAAACACAGGUGCUGCAUGGCUGUCGUCAGCUCGUGUCGUGAGAUGUUGGGUUAAGUCCCGCAACGAGCGCAACCCUCACUUUUAGUUGCCAUCAUUUAGUUGGGCACUCUGAAAGAACUGCCAGUGAUAAGCUGGAGGAAGGUGGGGAUGACGUCAAGUCCUCAUGGCCCUUACGUGUUGGGCUACACACGUGCUACAAUGGCAUCUACAAUAGGAAGCAAAAUGGCGACAUUGAGCAAAUCCUAAAAAGAUGCCUCAGUUCGGAUUGCACUCUGCAACUCGAGUGCAUGAAGCUGGAAUUACUAGUAAUCGCGGAUCAGCGCGCCGCGGUGAAUACGUUCCCGGGUCUUGUACACACCGCCCGUCACACCAUGGGAGU